rnacentral:pre_miRNA from 1 species
CGUUUUGCAGGGUCAGCAUUCAGUCUGGAUCAUGUUCUGCUGUGCAAACCCAUGCAAAACUGA